CCUACGGGAGGCAGCAGUGGGGAAUAUUGGACAAUGGGCGCAAGCCUGAUCCAGCAAUGCCGCGUGAGUGAUGAAGGCCUUAGGGUCGUAAAGCUCUUUUACCAGGGAUGAUAAUGACAGUACCUGGAGAAUAAGCUCCGGCUAACUCCGUGCCAGCAGCCGCGGUAAUACGGAGGGAGCUAGCGUUGUUCGGAAUUACUGGGCGUAAAGCGUACGUAGGCGGUUAUUCAAGUCAGAGGUGAAAGCCCGGGGCUCAACCCCGGAACGGCCUUUGAAACUAGGUAGCUAGAAUCUUGGAGAGGCCAGUGGAAUUCCGAGUGUAGAGGUGAAAUUCGUAGAUAUUCGGAAGAACACCAGUGGCGAAGGCGACUGACUGGACAAGUAUUGACGCUGAGGUACGAAAGCGUGGGGAGCAAACAGGAUUAGAUACCCUGGUAGUCCACGCCGUAAACGAUGAUAACUAGCUGUCCGGGCACUUGGUGCCUGGGUGGCGCAGCUAACGCAUUAAGUUAUCCGCCUGGGGAGUACGGUCGCAAGAUUAAAACUCAAAGGAAUUGACGG
rnacentral:rRNA from 1 species